AAACCACUUGAGUGCCGAGGCUGAAGGUCCAGUGGUGGUGUGGAGGCGCUCUGGCAGGCUGGUGUGAUCCACUGGAUCAGGAGGACGAGGACUGAGGGGGAUCCAGCAUCAGCUGCCGUCAGCAAAAUGCUUUUUCUUUUCUCGAAUUCCCACUUGUUCCCAGAGGCCCGUCGCUGUCCUGUAGGUAUCACACACAUAAACCCUCUCCAGCCUACUUUGCAUUCAGAUAGCCAUGUCGGACAUUGGUUACCGUGACAACGGUCAGGGCACGACAGCGAUGGGGUCGGCCCCUCGCACAGCCGGAUGCAUUUAUUAUUAAGAAAGUUUCUCUUUAGUUUUGCACCCGUUCGUUGGUCAAAAUGUCCUGUAAUGUGUUGAAAAUGUGGAAAGUGAGUAUUUCAUUCAUGUCUAAUUGACGCACGACGGCGUGCGGCGCUUUGGAUCUCCGACGGGAGGGCGGGGUACGUUUUGUAAAUCGUUAAUGAUUUCCUCGGCGCCGCGACAAACCUGUGCUCGACUCCGCCAGCAGCGCACACACACACACACACACACACGUCUCAUCGUCAGCUGUCAGGGUACAACUGGGAGAGCGAAUGGAGUCAGACUAACGGAUCCAGAUCAUCUCACGCGGCUCCUCGGAGGAGGUGCAGAGCUGCAGAGAGGGAGAACUUCUCCUUCUGGGGAUUCCAGUGGAACCUAACGUAACGCAAAGUGCUCGUCGUCUGGCAAACAGCUGGAUUGUCUUUUAAAUUCACCACGGUUGUUCUCAGAGGAGCUUCCCAUUGGGAGCUGGUGUGAGGGUCCGUCCCAAUGAGGACCCCCCCUCAGUCCCACAAUAUGUCUGUGUGUGUCACUAAUGAGCAUCUAGAUCACAUCCACAGUCCCAGCACCGGUCCUGGUGGCGGUUAGCUAGCGGCUAGCUAGCGGUUAGCUUCCGACUGAGAGCAAGUGUUCUGAAGUGGCUCCAACUCUUAAUCCUUAAAGUCUCUAUCCGGCAGUAAAACUCUGGAUAUGUGGACUUUUGUCUUUAUAUGGGGCAGCUGUUGUGAUGUUAUCUUCGAGUGGACUUUAGUUAUUCUACCAGAGAGGAGCUGAACCUCGGCCUCACUGGAGGAGUCUUCUGAUCGUUGAACGUCGGUUUUCAAAGUUCUUUUUCAGACUCGGCCGCAGAGGAGUUCUUUUACCCACUCGGGGGGGUCGUGUUCGAUUUGCAGGACCACACAGGAGGAGGUCUCGUGGUUGUGCGCGUCUUUGGACCCGUCACGUGGUGCAGCGCCGACGCUGCACUGAUCAAAGCAGACGGUGCAGAGACCACGGCGCCGGUUUGCGGUCCCUCCACGCGCGAACAUUAACUCUGCAACAAAAGUACCGGAAACUUCUGCAGACAUUCACAGUCUCACAUCACAUCACAUCUUUAACGUGAGCCUCACUUUCUAAAGCCCGGACGCACUUUCCUCCACACCGGCUGCUCCUGUGCUCUUAUCUCCAUCACCUCAACAGUUUAAUCCCAGGAAGCCGCCGGACUCAUUGACGCCCCUCGUCUCCGCUGCUCAUUCAGUGAAUUAUGGUCCAUUUGGAGUCAAACGGACCAUGAAGCAGGUCUCUACCACGGCGGCGUCCCGUCGGGGGUCAAGUGUCCCGCGUUGUUGUCCAACAACUUGUAACAUUGUUCUCAGCAUUCUUUAGUCAUUAGUUCCGACCUCUGGUGUCACUUUAAUGUCGCAGCAUGUUUUCUAAUAGGAACCACAGCAGGUCUGAAAUAUCAAUAUACAGCAGUUAAUAGAAUAAAUGAAUGGUCCAAGCUUCCCAAAACAGUAUAUACAGAUAUAUCUGUAUAUACUUCACUGUUUAUUUUGAUCUAAUUACUGCUAUGUAUUAUUAGUAGUAUUACACUGUAAUAAUAAUGUUUUACAGUUACUGCGACUGACUGGUAGAUCAGAGCAGUGCAGUGAGUGAGUGACAUUUAUGCAUCAAUAGUUUUGCUGCUUCCCCUCUGAACUGAAUCAGUAAAGCGUAUCUGAUGCUUAUGAGCCAUCAGGUCCAUUUCUGACGCUUCAUGUGUUUUGUGUGUGAAAUAAAUGAAGCUGCAGGACGAAUGUAGGGAGAUGAAAAGUAGGAAACUUCAGGUACAAGUACCUGAUAAGUACCUUAAGUACAUUGCAUUAAAUACUGCUCCUCUGGAAGCUCCUUAAUGAGUGAACUGACGUCUCCUAACCUACCUUCUCCCCUCCCAGAGCGCUGCGUCGCCAUGACGAGUGAGGAGGAGGAGGGGCCCGGCGUCGCCACGUGGACGGCGGCCAUCACUUCCUCCUCCCCCCGCAGGCCCCCCACGCACCGCGAGGAACAGGAGGAGGACGAGGACGGGAGGAUUGAGGAGGACGAGGAAGAGGUGGUGGAGUGCGACGGCGACGAUGAGGAGGACGACGAAGAGGAGGAGGAGGAGGACGGCCACAGCAGCGCCACCAGCGCGCCGUACCCGGAGCUCGCCCCCGUGGUCUUCUUCUGCCUCAAGCAGACCUCCUGUCCCCGCAGCUGCUGCAUCCGCAUGGUCUCCAGCCCAUAUCCUUUCUCUUGUAUACUCAGGUUCUUCUGUGAAGAGACAUCCGCUGGACAGGUGAGCCUCCACCUGGCGCUGCAUGGGGAGAGGGGGGGCGGAGAGUUGACAUCGCACCGCUGAAAACACCUCCUGUCAGGCGGAAAUCACUGUUCUCCUCACGGCGCUCUGCACUCCUCACCUGUCCAUUAACCUUCAGGUUCAUUCGUCCCCGACCGCAGAGACGGAGGAAAACAAGUGGAGAGAUGCUUAAAAGGCGAGCGAUUUAUGUUUGAGUGUGAUGUAAACACUCGUUUACAAGGAAACUAGAAGUUAAAUUAUCACCCAUCUGGAUUCUCCUUAUUAACACAAUACGAAUACACCUAAAGACAAACACCUCACUAAGCUCUACAGUGUCUAGCAGCUGCUCACGGCUGUGAUCAGAGCUUCUCAGACACAGACGUCCCUCUAGUGACCAGCAGGGGGCGACUCCUCUGCUCCCAUAGACGUCUAUGAGGAAAUGACUCUACUUCUCUGUAGUGACCAGCAGGGGGCGACUCCUCUGCUCCCAUAGACGUCUAUGAGGAAAUGACUCUACUUCUCUGUAGUGACCAGCAGGGGGCGACUCCUCUGCUCCCAUAGACGUCUAUGAGGAAAUGACUCUACUUCUCUGUAGUGACCAGCAGGGGGCGACUCCUCUGCUCCCAUAGACGUCUAUGAGGACAUGACUCUACUUCUCUGUAGUGACCAGCAGGGGGCGACUCCUCUGCUCCCAUAGACGUCUAUGAGGAAAUGACUCUACUUCUCUCUUGAUUUAUUCCCUCAGUAAACAUUGUAAACAUGAGUUUAUGUCUCAGUCUCUAGUUUCACGUCUCGUUCAACACAGCAUGAUGUUCAUUUACUAGAUGAUGGUGCAUUUAGAGUCAAACAGACCAUAAACCAGGGGCGCUGUGGGGCGGGGCUACACGCUGAUUGGCAGUUCAUUUUAGUUUGUCCACUUAUUGGUGCUUAAGGAGUUGUGAGUGCUGCCUCAGCCCCCCCGGCUCGUCCCUUCCUCCCUGAGACAGAAAAUCAUUUGUGUUUCAUUGUGUUAAAUCCUCCGGUCAGCGAGGCGGAUUCUGGGUAUGCGACGCAGACGGGCGGGUCAGACGUCUGUCGCCCCGCGUUUAUUCCCAAUCACUGGUUGGCAUGUUUGAUCAUUUCCUUGUUGCCAACCCUCAUCACCCCCCCCCUGUUGUUUCCCUCCCACCUCGUGAGGAAACGACGUGCCAGGAAUGGUCUUGCAGAAAGCGGGCGAGCCGUUGUAACGGAGGUGGACGUCGCUGCUUUCUUCAAUCUGCAGAGCUGUGAAACGCAGCUCGUAGCGACUUGAAGGCCGUGAAGGUGAAAGCACGGAGAAGC
ensembl:lncRNA